rnacentral:rRNA from 1 species
AAAGGGUCCGUAGGCGGAUCUGUAAGUCAGUGGUGAAAUCUCAUAGCUUAACUAUGAAACUGCCAUUGAUACUGCAGGUCUUGAGUAAAGUAGAAGUGGCUGGAAUAAGUAGUGUAGCGGUGAAAUGCAUAGAUAUUACUUAGAACACCAAUUGCGAAGGCAGGUCACUAUGUUUUAACUGACGCUGAUGGACGAAAGCGUGGGGAGCGAACAGGAUUAGAUACCCUAGU